rnacentral:tRNA from 1 species
GCCGAAAUGGUGGAAUUGGCAGACGCGUCGGACUCAAAAUCCGAUGAGGUUAAACUCGUGUGGGUUCAAGUCCCACUUUCGGCACCA